rnacentral:lncRNA from 1 species
CCACGGGGUAGACUUGGCGGGAUUGUCCCUGGGGCAGCCUGGAUCCUGAGGCUGCCCCGCCUCCUUCCUCAGCCCCUCCCUGGUCAGGCGCUCCUGGUGGGUGCGGGGGGUAGUCCAGGCUUGUCUUGCAACUGUAUGUUCUCUUCAGACCCCUCCCUGGCGACGCCAGAUUCACUGGGCUGGCAGAUUCUGCCCCCAAACCUGUCCAACCAGUUGUUUGAGAGGAGGGGGUACCUGGGAGGGGCAGCAGGAGAUGCCAGGAACAGCUUCCCCUAGCGCAGCACAGACUACAGACAGAGGAGCCUCUGGGGCUGCAGACACUGCAGACGGACGGACAGAUGGACAACAGCUGGAGGCUUGGCCCGGCCAUAGGGCUCUCUGCGGGACAGUCCCAGCUGCUAGUGUCACUGUUGCUGCUACUGACCCGUGUCCAGCCUGGGACAGAUGUGGCUGCCCCAGAGCACAUCAGCUAUGUGCCCCAGCUCUCAAACGACACCCUGGCGGGGAGGCUCACCCUGUCCACCUUCACGCUGGAGCAGCCUCUAGGCCAGUUCAGCAGCCACAACAUCUCUGACUUGGAUACCAUCUGGCUGGUGGUGGCCCUCAGCAACGGUGGGUGCUGCUGGGGCCAGGCCUCGGUUUUCCCUAUGUGAAAUGGGCCUGCGGGCCUAAGGGCAGUAGCGGGUGUG